UGUGAACCGAGAUGAUUACCCAAUGGUGAAUGCCAGAUCUGCCAUUUUUUUCUGUACAUUCUGAUAUUUAUUCUGCAUGUAGAACUCAUAUGCUGUUAAAGUGAAAUUAAUUCAUAACUCAAGAUACCGAUUUUACUCCUGUAGCUUAUAAGUUCUUCAUUCUGCAGAGCAUUUCUGUAGAUGAUAAAAUUGUCCAGAAAAACAUGGUGGAGUUGGUAGCCUGUAUACUAGCUCUUAAACUAGAAUUUGUGGAACCAAACCAAAAAGUCCCACAUGUUCCCAAUUUCUCUUAAUGUCUCAUCUUCAGUUUAUGCUUGUUUUAG